rnacentral:tRNA from 1 species
CGCGCGCGGUUCGGCAACCAGCGGGGCCUCAUAAGCCCCGCCCACGUGGAUCGACACCACGGCGCGCGACC